UUACCAGAUACAAAAAUAAUAACUUCACAAUGGAAAUGUGGACUUAUGAACAUCUAUGAACACAGUGAAAAUGGAUGAAGAUUUAAAUGAAACUUCCUCAGUUAUGUAAUCCAAACUACAAAAAUCGAAGUCAAGGGAGAUGGAUGCCAGGCUUUCCCUCAUUCUGUCACUUGAACAAGAAUCCCCUCCCAGGCUCUGCUUCCAAGGCUACAAGGAUUCAAUCUGCUUUCCUUUAUUUUGGAAGUUGUUUACACCCACUCUACUUUCUGGGUUUAUUUCCUAGCAAGA
rnacentral:lncRNA from 1 species